rnacentral:SRP_RNA from 1 species
GCUGGGUGUGGUGGUGGGUGCCUGUAAUCCUAGCUACUAGGGAGGCUGAGGCACAAGAAUUGCUUGAACCCGGGAGGCAGGGGUUGCAGUGAGCCGAGAUUGUGCCACUGCACUCCAGCCUGGGUGACAAAGUGAGAUUUUGUCUCAA